rnacentral:sRNA from 1 species
AAUCUAUCCUUGGUUUCUCUUUCGUUUUGUUUCUCUUGGUAAUGAAUCUUGGGUUCGGUGGCCUGGCUGUGAUGCGUAUUGAUAAGGGAUUUUCUGAGGGAUGGAGACCUAGUUUUCCUCCUCCUGAUUGAGAGAAACCAAUGGAUCCUUCUGAGCCUACCAAAACCAACCCUGCGAGUUCUUUUUUUAUUUUUGUUUGCUCUUGUACACUUUGUGAACUGUUCAUUUUUGUUCUUUGAUUUUUUCUCUCUUCCUUUUGCUGUCUUCUGGUGAACUGUAAUACAAGCUAGUGCAAGAUCUGCUCUCAGUUGAUGUGAGGAUAAAACUUUCACAGAAACUCUUUUGAUGUGUUGACCCUAAAAUUCAGACUACAAUUAUCUGAUCAGCUGCAGAAACUUGCCCUACGAAAAAAAAAAGAUCUCAGUUUUUCCCACCAGAUCCAGUUGUUUUCCUUGUUCGUCAUGACUUAGAUUUGGUAUUUAAUUGCUAAUCCUUGCACAAUAAGCCGAUGCUCUGGACGAAAUAAGAGGAAGGAAGCAUGGUAGUGUGCACGGAGAUUCACCACAAGGUCUGCAUGUCUGCCUGCAGUGACGCCUUCGGGCUUUGAUCUCGCGGGCCUGGAUUUGACCCACAUUUUCCUAUCUGAAUUUUGCUUCCG